UACGUAGGGUGCAAGCGUUGUCCGGAAUUAUUGGGCGUAAAGAGCUCGUAGGCGGUCUGUCGCGUCUGCUGUGAAAACUCGGGGCUUAACCCCGGGCCUGCAGUGGGUACGGGCAGACUAGAGUGCGGUAGGGGAGACUGGAAUUCCUGGUGUAGCGGUGAAAUGCGCAGAUAUCAGGAGGAACACCGGUGGCGAAGGCGGGUCUCUGGGCCGUAACUGACGUUGAGGAGCGAAAGCGUGGGGAGCGAACAGG
rnacentral:rRNA from 1 species